rnacentral:rRNA from 1 species
CGAACACUGGCGGCAUGGAUUAGGCAUGCAAGUCGAACGAGAACGUUCCCUUCGGGGAACUAGUACAGUGGCGAACGGGUGAGUAACAGGUGGAAAACCUGCCCUACAAUGGGGGAUAACAGUUCUAACGAGCUGCUAAUACCGCAUACGACCUUUGGAACGCAUGUUCCGGGGGUGAAAGGUGGCCUCUCUUUGAAGCUGCCGUUGAAGGAUGGUUCCGCCUCCCAUUAGCUUGUUGGUGGGGUAAUGGCCUACCAAGGCGACGAUGGGUAGCCGGCCUGAGAGGGUGUCCGGCCACACUGGGACUGAGAUACGGCCCAGACUCCUACGGGAGGCAGCAGUCGAGAAGCUUCGGCAAUGGGCGAAAGCCUGACCGAGCGAUGCCGCGUGAGUGAAGAAGGCCCUAUGGGUUGUAAAGCUCUGUCAGAUUGGGAAGAAAAUCCUACGGAUAAUACCCGUGGGACUUGACGGUACCAUCAGAGGAAGCACCGGCUAACUCC